rnacentral:rRNA from 1 species
GAGUUUGAUCCUGGCUCAGAUUGAACGCUGGCGGCAGGCCUAACACAUGCAAGUCGAGCGGAUGACGGGAGCUUGCUCCUUGAUUCAGCGGCGGACGGGUGAGUAAUGCCUAGGAAUCUGCCUGGUAGUGGGGGACAACGUUUCGAAAGGAACGCUAAUACCGCAUACGUCCUACGGGAGAAAGCAGGGGACCUUCGGGCCUUGCGCUAUCAGAUGAGCCUAGGUCGGAUUAGCUAGUUGGUGGGGUAAUGGCUCACCAAGGCGACGAUCCGUAACUGGUCUGAGAGGAUGAUCUGCCACACUGGAACUGAGACACGGUCCAGACUCCUACGGGAGGCAGCAGUGGGGAAUUUUGGACAAUGGGGGCAACCCUGAUCCAGCCAUGCCGCGUGAGUGAAGAAGGCC